rnacentral:rRNA from 1 species
GUGCGUAAUACAUGCAAGUCGAGCGAACAGACGAGGAGCUUGCUCCUUUGACGUUAGCGGCGGACGGGUGAGUAACACGUAGGUAACCUACCUAUAAGACUGGGAUAACUUCGGGACACCGGAGCUAAUACCGGAUAAUAUUUCGAACCGCAUGGUUCGAUAGUGAAAGAUGGCUUUGCUAUCACUAAUAGAUGGACCUGCGCCGUAUUAGCUAGUUGGUAAGGUAACGGCUUACCAAGGCAACGAUACGUAGCCGACCUGAGAGGGUGAUCGGCCACACUGGAACUGAGACACGGUCCAGACUCCUACGGGAGGCAGCAGUAGGGAAUCUUCCGCAAUGGGCGAAAGCCUGACGGAGCAACGCCGCGUGAGUGAUGAAGGUCUUCGGAUCGUAAAACUCUGUUAUUAGGGAAGAACAAACGUGUAAGUAACUGUGCACGUCUUGACGGUACCUAAUCAGAAAGCCACGGCUAACUACGUGCCAGCAGCCGCGGUAAUACGUAGGUGGCAAGCGUUAUCCGGAAUUAUUGGGCGUAAAGCGCGCGUAGGCGGUUUUUUAAGUCUGAUGUGAAAGCCCACGGCUCAACCGUGGAGGGUCAUUGGAAACUGGAAAACUUGAGUGCAGAAGAGGAAAGUGGAAUUCCAUGUGUAGCGGUGAAAUGCGCAGAGAUAUGGAGGAACACCAG